rnacentral:rRNA from 1 species
UACGUAGGGUGCGAGCGUUGUCCGGAAUCAUUGGGCGUAAAGAGCGUGUAGGCGGCUCGGUAAGUCCGCUGUGAAAGUCCAGGGCUCAACCCUGGAAUGCCGGUGGAAACUGUCGAGCUAGAGUCCGGAAGAGGCGAGUGGAAUUCCUGGUGUAGCGGUGAAAUGCGCAGAUAUCAGGAGGAACACCAAUGGCGAAGGCAGCUCGCUGGGACGGUACUGACGCUGAGGCGCGAAAGCGUGGGGAGCGAACAGG